rnacentral:rRNA from 1 species
AGAGUUUGAUUCAUGGCUCAGGAUGAGUGCAUGGCGUGGUGCGUCCUCGUACAAGCCUAACGAUAAAUCCUAACUUGCUCUGUGGAUUAGUGGCGAACCGGUGAGUACUACGUUAGUGACCUACCUUUUACUCCGGGAUCAUACCCUGCUACACUGGGUCUAGUACCGCAUGCGACCCAUCUCCCCAUGGGGUGUUGGUGUAAAGCGUUGUAGAGUGGUUUUACAUGGCCUCAUCGCCUAGCGCCUUGUUGGUGAGGUAAUGGCUUCCCCUGGCGACGACAGGGCACCUGCCUGACAUGCGUGACCCGCCUCGCUGCCGACCGACACACUUCCCCCAGUCCUGCUGCAUGCACCCCUGGGGAAUAUUGCAGCGAUGGGUCCCAUCCAGAUGACGCCACGCCGCCUGAUGGAUGACUGCCUUCAGGUAUGUGAAACCGCUGUUAGCAUCUAAGAAGCAAAAGUGACAGUAGGUGCAGAGAAAGCGCCCGCUAACUACGUGCCAGCAGCCGCGGUAAUACGUAAGGCGCGAGCGUUGUCCGGAAUUAUUGGGCGUAAAGAGCUUGUAGGCGGUUGGUCGCGUCUGCUGUGAAAGGCUGGGGCUUAACCCUGGUUUUGCAGUGGGUACGGGCUAACUAGAGUGCAGUAGGGGAGACUGGAAUUCCUGGUGUAGCGGUGGAAUGCGCAGAUAUCAGGAGGAACACCGAUGGCGAAGGCAGGUCUCUGGGCUGUAACUGACGCUGAGAAGCGAAAGCAUGGGGAGCGAACAGGAUUAGAUACUCUGGUAGUCCAUGCCGUAAACGUUGGGCACUAGGUGUGGGGGACAUUCCACGUUUUCCGCGCCGUAGCUAACGCAUUAAGUGCCCCGCCUGGGGAGUACGGCCGCAAGGCUAAAACUCAAAGAAAUUGACGGGGGCCCGCACAAGCGGCGGAGCAUGCGGAUUAAUUCGAUGCAACGCGAAGAACCUUACCAAGGCUUGACAUAUACUGGACUGCGUCAGAGAUGGCGUUUCCCUUCGGGGCUGGUAUACAGGUGGUGCAUGGUUGUCGUCAGCUCGUGUCGUGAGAUGUUGGGUUAAGUCCCGCAACGAGCGCAACCCUCGUUCUAUGUUGCCAGCACGUGAUGGUGGGGACUCAUAGGAGACUGCCGGGGUCAACUCGGAGGAAGGUGGGGAUGACGUCAAAUCAUCAUGCCCCUUAUGUCUUGGGCUUCACGCAUGCUACAAUGGCCGGUGCAGAGGGUUGCGAUACUGUGAGGUGGAGCUAAUCCCUAAAAGCCGGUCUCAGUUCGGAUUGGGGUCUGCAACUCGACCCCAUGAAGUCGGAGUCGCUAGUAAUCGCAGAUCACCUCUGCCGCCGUAGUUGCGUUCCCUGCCGGUGCACCCCCCGCCCGUC